CUCCUUCCCAGAGUCAGUGCUACAGCCUCCUCUUGGGCUGCUUCCUGUCUCCAUCUUACCAUCCUCAAAGCCAUCCUCUAAACAGAAAUCUAAGCCAGUCACACCCUGUGGCAAAGACUUCCAUGGUUCUCCAAUCAUCUACUCAUGCAUCCAUCAUCAAGCCAUUCACGCAUCCAUCCAUCCAUCCAUCCAUCCAUCCAAGUAUUCAUUCAUACAACAAAUACUCACCGAGUAUCUAUUAUACGGAAGGCACAACACUAGACACUGGCCCCUAGUAACAAGUGGCUUCUGGUCUUAAGGGGGAGGAGAGAGGAUAAGUGAAACAAGCUCACAAAGAGAGUGCAGGAUUUUGUGAGGGUUCAUGGGUGAGGACCUCACCCUCUCAGGAAAGGCCUUCCUGAGCAUCAGCAGUUACAGUAAGAUCAGGAGAAAGACAAAGUGCUGCCCAAGCAGAGGAGAGUUUCUACCUGUGGAGAAUGUGUGGAAACAGCCGAAAUGCAACAGGAAGAGAAGGGGCAGCUCUGUGGAAUUGAAACACCCACUUCACAGAUGCAGAAACUGCGGCCCAGAGAGAUGAACCAACCUGCUGAAGACUCCGCAGUUGAGAUGCGGCAGGCCAGGUCCGGAACUCGGAUUGGUCCACACUUUCCUUGAUGCCGUGCUGACUAUCAUGAUCAUCCUGGAACCAACACCCUCAAGCCGCCAGCUCAGCCAAGCUCCAGUCCUCACAGAUGCUGCAGCAAUGGCCACCAGGCUUGGUCCGGGACUGACCCCCUUCAACUGGACUACGCUUUAGCAAGUCAACCAUGUUUUCAAUGCCCACUGAGGAAAACCAGCCUUGUGUCCAGUCCGUGGUUUGGGAGGGCAUUGGGGAAAAGAAUCAAAAUAACACUUUAUUACCCAGCUAAGAAACUGAGAAAAACUAUAGAGUGACUCAACGCCUGGAAGCGAAUCUUUAGCAAAUGCAAAUCAGCAUAGAGGCCUCUGAGGACUUCAAUGACCAAGAGAAAUUAGGCUCCCAACAGGAAGGAAAGGCCUCUCUGACUAAGCUAGGAGUCUCUUGCACAUCCCAAGUCAGAAGGCAGAGGUGCCUAACUGCUGGAUUCCAGCUAGCACAUAAAUAAUGAUCUAACCCGCCCCCCUUCCGUGAGGCACACACCGGCACGCACACAGACGGUUACUCAUGGUGCCAGGGCUGCUCACGGAGCCCCAAACCCACAAGAGCUGGGGAGUUUCCCGAGGGCCCAGCUUCCUUUUCCUUCAGUUGGCCAAACCUCUGCAUGCUUGAAACAAGACUGUUUCAUUUUCUGAAAGUGCUUUAUUUUUCCCUCUGAGGACGGGGAAAAAUCAGGAUGCAUUUUUCCUUAGUCCCCAUUUCCCCCCAGAUCGCCUCACUCCAGCAACCGCGUGGACCAUAGCAUCUGACUUCUAGAACCCUUGUCACUGUUUCAAAGGUCAUGAGUUACGAAGUUGAUUUACUGACCCAUGAAUGGGUCACAACCCGCAGUUUGGAAACAGCUUGAUGGACCCCCACCUGUGCUUUCCAGCUUCUCAUAGAGCCUCAGGGCCCCAGGAAGGCGGUGUGGUCUCUGAAGACAGCUGGGCUCUGCCCUCAAACCUCAAACAGCUGGGCUUCCUGCAGAGGCUCUGCAGGAGACUGGGCACCCUUGCAACCACGACCCCAGCUCUCCCUCCAGCGACUUCCCGCAGCCUGAACCUCCCAGCUCCGGCUAGAAAAUCCCCAGCUGGAGGCUGCCCAUUCCCGAGCUGAGGCAGAAUCAUGUGAACUCCAAUCUGGUGUCAGGCUGGGCGGUUGCCGAGGAACCACUCGCCAGCCAGAGGCUGAGGGCGGCGGAGUGGCUCUCUCCACGCAUCCUCCUCUGCUCUCCAUGCAACCCAGUCAGUGAGCAGCCUCACUGGGAAUGUGAAAGCCUGAGGAACCACUAAUGGCAUGGUGUCCCGGCCCACCUCCAGCACCGCCAGGGGCCGUCAAGCUGCCCCAGCCCCUCUGCGAGCACCACGUGCCCUACUGCACCUGGAGGAAGGACCAUGCCUUUGGGAUGAAGAAGGAGGGGUGAAACUUUCUUUGGUUUUACUCCAAUCGGCUGAGCCCAGCUUCUAGAGGCUUCUAGCAUUCCUUGGCUUGUGGUGUCUUCCAACUUCAAAGCCCACAGCAGUUGACUGAAUCCUUCUCACAUCACAUCUCCUCCUCUGACCCUCACGUUCCCUCUUCCACUUUGAAGGGUCCUUCCUUGUGACAAUGCUGGAUCAUCUCCUUACUUUAAGGAAGCUGCCUGGGGAAGGAGGAGCUGGAUCUAUUUUGUCCUUUGCUAGGGACCGUGCACACCAAAAACAUGCCGAAUGUUUGGGUGAAUAAAGGAAUCUAAAUUCUACUUCUUCCUGUAGCCUGCUGGGAAGGCCAGCGUGGCUAAAAUUGAAGUCAGAAGCUAACAAUCUGAGGGAAACAGUCAGGAUAUAGGAUGAGGCAACAAGAAGAGGGUUGGUUUGGACUCUCAGAGUGUGAGUGGGUGGCCUUAAGCGGAAGUGCACUUCCACGAAGGCUUGGUGCUGAACCGGGGACUUCCAGCCAGGAGGGCCUGUGGUCUGAGAAGGUCUGAGCUGCCUGGGGCAUGUCUCCUGUCUGCAGUUGCAGCACAGACCACAGACCUGGAGGUUGCCAUGGCAAUCCCUGGGGCCUGCUGCCCCCACUGCCUGCAGAGCGCUCCAGCCCAUCAAUUAGUAACCUAAUAAUGUAUGACAACAGUCACUCCAAACACACAGGAAGCAGCCCUCUUGAAAAACAAACAGACUUCUCGAAGAUGCUCAUUACACUCAACCCCGGGCCACCGGCUCAAAUCUAUUUUCUUGAAUCCAAAUUGCUCUCUCAUUGGCUUCUCCCUCUUGUUUUGAAGGCCCAGGGUUGACAAAGCUGGGGACUGAAGCCUCAGAGGUUCCAGGGCUAGAGAGGCCACUGGGUCCUCUCCUGGGAGAAACACUUCAACUUUUGCAAAAGAUUAAUUCAUCACCAUGGCGCCCAGAAAAAAAAUGCAAAAGAGAAGACUCAAGUUGUGGCAGACCCAAGGUGGCUGCAAACUGAGAUUUUCCUCCUCAAGAGGUGGGGGUCUAAGUCUCCUCCCUUGAACCUAGGCAGGCCCUCUGACUGCCUGACCAACAGAACAGCGUGGAAGCAACGCUGUACCCGUUUUUGAGGCUAAGCCUGAAGAGACUGGCAGUUCCCACUUCCUGUCUUUGGGGAAUAAUUGUUCUUGAAACCUAAGUGCUAUGCUGUGAGGAAGCCAAGCAGCCUCGUUGACAGGCCCACAUUGAGCGGAACCAAACCCUGGCCAGCAGCUCCUGCUGCGCCCCCAGCUGACAGCCAGGUUUGACUUGUCUUGCAUACCAGUAUGUCAUGUUGGAUGAGGAUCCCCCAGCCCCAGUAGGGGCAUCUCAGCUGAUGCUCCAAGAAGCAGAGAUGAGCCAUCCCACCGAGCCCUGCCCAAAUCACACAUU